GAGAACAAAAAGGAACCGAUUAAAUAAUUAGACGCACAGAAAAAAAAUGUAAGGUAGAUAACUUUUUUCUAAAAUGUAUUUUUUUUUACAACAAUAUGAUUAUUUAUGCCUUGGAGAGCUGUGGUGCCAUUUAACAACUAGUACCGGAUUUAAUACAUUCGCUCCACUCGCUGCAGCAACGUGGAGAGGACAAGAGGCUAGAGGGGUGAGAGGCUAGGGAGGGAGCAGAGAGUGGCGGGGGAAGGGGCGCAAGUGACCGCUGCACACACACGCGGAUCCUCAGAGAGGGAGCAGACUGCAGAGCACUGAAUAUAUUGAAGGAAAGCUGAUACCAGGUAGUGCUGAGUAACGCAGGCCUGGUUUCGACCAGACAGAGAAUGGAUGCUCCUGAGUGAGUACUCCCACAGGGACUAAGCAGAGAGCCUCUGUCCUGGUGCGGUCACACAGCGAGAGAGAGAGGGGGGUGGAGGUCGGGCUGACAUCCAGUGCAACCCUUCAACCUCCAGGACAGCCAGGGAGCGUUGAGCUCCAUCUGCUCCUGUCCGUCGGUCGUGUCGGUGCCAGGCUCCACAUGCCACUCAGCAGCAGAACAGAGCCUUAGCCUUACUUCGCCUGCGCCACCCUGUCCUGCCAACACUGCAGAACAGUUAGGCAGUGCCUUUACUGUGAUAAUGGGACUUGGGACGGGGAGUGCGGCACACCGGCUGGGCAGGACUGUGUCCCAUGCUGCUCUCCCUCUCUAUCAGUGGCUUGUGUAUUACUUUACUCAGUCUGUGGGAUCUCAAGUGAAACUGUUCAAGUUCUUAUCAUAGAGGCGUCAUAGAGGCAGGUGUCAUGACCAUAGGGGGCACAAGGUCAUGUGCCCCCUCAGAUUUGUCCUGUUUUAAAUGAUCCAGGUAUUUCAGAUGUUCAAUUAAUUACUAAACUUCCUUUUCAAGCGCAGGUUUUAUAAUUAUUUAUCAAAAUAUCUAUAAGCUGUAUUGUGGAGGUGCCACACUGACUGAACCAAGCAAAGAGUACACCCCCCUAUUUUCCCUAGCAAGUGGUUCUUUGUGCAUGUGACAAAUAACACUUGAAACUUCCUUCCAAGGAGCAAAGAUAUGCUAGAUAGUCUGUCUAGUGUGUGCAGACAGUAUCGUCAGUGGAGGAGGAGAGAGAGUGUAGAGUGAUACCAGCUCCAUACAAACACACAGCAUUUGAUUUUAGCUGUCGAUGAUGGGCAGGAUUCGCAUGAGGUAUAUUUGUAAAUUAAUUGUUUGUAAAUGAAUCAAGCUAUGUAGCCUAUUUAAGCCUUCUUGGUGAAUAAAUACAACCAAUAUGCUUUAUUGUUUCUCUGUAAUACUAGCCACCUAGCAAUUUUCUGAAGUUGGCUUUAGCUAGCCAGCUAGAUAGGUUUCCAAUAUCCCAACCUGACAACUAGCUACCAAGCCAUUUCAGGCUAUCAAUAAAGUAGCAUGUCUAACUACCUUAGCAGGAAUGCCUGCUGGUAAGUUUGUUAAGCUUUAGAAAAGCAAGCAAGUACUAAAUGUACUGAAUAAUUUGUAAGUCGCUCUGGAUAAGAGCGUCUGCUAAAUGACUUAAAUGUAAAUGUAAAUAAGACUCAUAUUCCUUUCAAUCUUUUACCCAGAUUUUAGCAGAGAAGCAUAUUUAGGGUUACGCUAUAUACCAGCGUGGCAGUUAUA